UAUCAUCAGAAAAAUUACUGUCUGUAACCUUUCACAGCUCGGCAGAUGUGUUUCCUGCCAUACUUCAUUGUGUAGAAGACAUUGAAAUGAUCAUUUGCUAACUUACCAUCACUUGCUGACAGGGCAAUGAUGAUUCUUAGUAUUGCUCCAUUUAAGUUGAAAGUUUAAAUAUGCACAUGCAAGGCACUUAACAUCUGUGGAAGUGUAUUUUUUUUAAUGCUCAACAAAAAUUCAUAGCACAUUGUGUUUUCAACCAUGGGCCCUUUCACUCAAAGUCAUGCCAAGCAAUGUUUAACUGGUAAAUUGCCAUUUAAACACCAGACCCAGUUCCUUUGUUUCUUUAUGUUUUGUUAAUUCUUUCUAAAACACCUACCAUACUGCAUUUUUUGUGAGAUGCAUAAGCCCCUCUAAGAGAUUAAUUGAAUACAUUCACUUUAGAACAUCCCAAUCUCACGUGCACUACCAAAAUUAAUGCCAACGUACAGCGCUUUUUCCAUGGCAGCCACUCUAACACUUAAUAAGUUGGGAUAGCUUAGUAAAACCAGUUAAUUGGGAAGCAUUGAUUUGCCCAAAUUUUUUCCCAAAAGCACAAAAAAAUUGGACCCGAUCGGACCCGAACCCGACCCGAAUCAGA
rnacentral:lncRNA from 1 species